rnacentral:rRNA from 1 species
AUGUCGAACUCUCCACAUUCUGCUGGUACUGCAGGAACAAAGAGGCGCCCAGCAAAGCCUAAAAGCGAUAAUGAGAAUAUAAUUGAGGAGAGAAAUGUUACCACCAACAUUGGUCAUGAUGCCAUUGGGUGGAAGAGACCAAAGAGAGAAGUUGCCCGUUCAAAUUUCAGUGGGAAGGCAUUUGACUUAUCGAAAGAAGAUUCACUUGUCACAACCAAGGAAAUCAGAACUAAGGAGGGAACAGAGGCUGUUAGGUUGACAAGAACAGGACCUGAAGAUGGGCAAUGCUGCAGAAAACUCAUCGAUUUCAUCCUGCAUGGUAAAGAUGGUAAUUUGCAACCGUUUGAAAUGUCUCGGAGUGAUGGUGUCUCCAUGACAGCUCUUGUCAUGCCAUUUGAUGCUCAUAUCGAAAAGGACAGGAAAAAGGGAAUAUGA